rnacentral:rRNA from 1 species
UGAACGCUGGCGGCGUGCCUAAUACAUGCAAGUCGAGCGAACAGAUACGGAGCUUGCUCCUUUGAAGUUAGCGGCGGACGGGUGAGUAACACGUGGGUAACCUACCUAUAAGACUGGGAUAACUUCGGGAAACCGGAGCUAAUACCGGAUAACAUUUAGAACCGCAUGGUUCUAAAGUGAAAGAUGGUUUUGCUAUCACUUAUAGAUGGACCCGCGCCGUAUUAGCUAGUUGGUAAGGUAACGGCUUACCAAGGCGACGAUACGUAGCCGACCUGAGAGGGUGAUAGGCCACACUGGAACUGAGACACGGUCCAGACUCCUACGGGAGGCAGCAGUAGGGAAUCUUCCGCAAUGGGCGAAAGCCUGACGGAGCAACGCCGCGUGAGUGAUGAAGGGUUUCGGCUCGUAAAACUCUGUUAUUAGGGAAGAACAAAUGUGUAAGUAACUGUGCACAUCUUGACGGUACCUAAUCAGAAAGCCACGGCUAACUACGUG